UGUAUAUAACAUUAUUUUGAUUAAAUGCAAAAUUAAAACUUGCAUCUCUAAGUUAUUCUUUUUUUUCCCCACCUUAGGAUGUUCUUAAUGCCAAAAACUCAGCCAUUAAGGAUCUACAGUAUGAUCUUGCAAGAGCAUGCAAGGCACAUAAUGACUUGAUCAGAACUUAUGAAGCCAAACUUAAACAGUAUGGAAUACCCAUAGAGAACUGUGGAUUUGUGCCAAUGAAUCCAAAAGGACAACAACUUGGUAAAGGACUAGCACAUCUUGUUUCAACACCUGAUUCUGAUGUUAAAUAAAAUCAUGACUGUUAGUAAAUUCCACUUUUUGUAAAAAUAUACCGAGUUAUUUUAAUAUAUUUUGUAACAUGGAUAUUUCAAAUUGUAAUCUUAUUUCUUUAAUGAAUUUAAUAAUGGAAUAAAAAUGUGAUAACAAUGUA